AUUGAACGCUGGCGGCAGGCCUAACACAUGCAAGUCGAGCGGGGUUUUCGGACCUAGCGGCGGACGGGUGAGUAAUGCGUAGGAAGCUGCCCGAUAGAGGGGGAUACCAGUUGGAAACGACUGUUAAUACCGCAUAAUGUCUACGGACCAAAGUGUGGGACCUUCGGGCCACAUGCUAUCGGAUGCGCCUACGUGGGAUUAGGUAGUUGGUGUAGGUAAUGGCUCACCAAGGCGACGAUCUCUAGCUGGUUUGAGAGGAUGAUCAGCCACACUGGAACUGGGACACGGUCCAGACUCCUACGGGAGGCAGCAGUGGGGAAUAUUGGACAAUGGGCGCAAGCCUGAUCCAGCCAUGCCGCGUGUGUGAAGCAGGCCUUCGGGUUGUAAAGCACUUUCAGCGAGGAGGAAGGGCGGUGUGUUAAUAGCACAUCAUUUUGCCGUUACUCGCAGAAGAAGCACCGGCUAACUCUGUGCCAGCCGCCGCCGUAA
rnacentral:rRNA from 1 species